UUGAUCCUGGCUCAGAGCGAACGCUGGCGGCAGGCCUAACACAUGCAAGUCGAACGGACCCUUCGGGGUUAGUGGCGGACGGGUGAGUAACACGUGGGAACGUGCCUUUAGGUUCGGAAUAGCUCCUGGAAACGGGUGGUAAUGCCGAAUGUGCCCUUCGGGGGAAAGAUUUAUCGCCUUUAGAGCGGCCCGCGUCUGAUUAGCUAGUUGGUGAGGUAACGGCUCACCAAGGCGACGAUCAGUAGCUGGUCUGAGAGGAUGACCAGCCACACUGGGACUGAGACACGGCCCAGACUCCUACGGGAGGCAGCAGUGGGGAAUCUUGCGCAAUGGGCGAAAGCCUGACGCAGCCAUGCCGCGUGAAUGAUGAAGGUCUUAGGAUUGUAAAAUUCUUUCACCGGGGACGAUAAUGACGGUACCCGGAGAAGAAGCCCCGGCUAACUUCGUGCCAGCAGCCGCGGUAAUACGAAGGGGGCUAGCGUUGCUCGGAAUUACUGGGCGUAAAGGGCGCGUAGGCGGAUCGUUAAGUCAGAGGUGAAAUCCCAGGGCUCAACCCUGGAACUGCCUUUGAUACUGGCGAUCUUGAGUAUGAGAGAGGUAU
rnacentral:rRNA from 1 species